AAAAUCAAUUCGCAUACUGAAUUGAGAAAACCCUAAAGUCAGCUUGUUCACGUUAAUGAUUUUCGAGUUUCUUCAAUCCAGUACAUGGAUCGGGACAACAAGAAAAUAUUAGAACUGUCCACCAUUUUUAAAUAUAAUCUUUUGUGGCUAUAAAUAAAUGGUUUUAAUUUCAUAAAAUUAUUUAUUUAAAUACAAGGAAUGAAAAGAAUGGUAUGCUGAUCUGGGGUGAAAGACAUCAAUAAAUGCAAUCAAAACCACCUUUAUUAGUAUUAUUAGUAUCCCUAACAGCAGUAAGAAAUAUGUUGGAGAGACGGCGGGAGCUGACGUUUCACACUUCCCGCUGUUGUUGAUGGGUGGUUACGCGCACUCGAUUUUGCCUCAUCACGACUAUCCAUACGGGCCGCUGUGAUGCUGUGCUGGGAAUUUCAAAGGAGGAAGUGUCGACAAUCUCGGGUUCUCACAGAAGGAGAAGGAGAACUGGAGAAGUAGGAGUAAAGAAGCUCUUUAAGCUUGACUCCUUAAUCGCAAAAUCGCACGCAUUGUUCUCCUUGUAUCCAUCCAAUCUCAAGAGUGCUGCAUCUCUCGGAGCCGUGGUUAGUUUUGCCCUUUCUAUAAUUUUUACAUGGAGGUUCUUGAGAGCAAGAAAACUCAUCAUCAUCAAGAAUUAGGAUCUGUGUCAGUUAUCCACUUCUUCAAAGCUCCCGCUGCAAUAAACUGUGCAAACGAAAUUAAAUAGUGGUCGAAAGGGUUUUGUGCAGAUGACUUGUUGAUUACUGGGAGUUAUUCUUGAAGAAAGCAGUCCUGAUGACUUCAGGAUCAUGUAACUGUCAGGGAAUCUGUGAUGGAUGUGCCGUCGGAAAUAAGUAAAUAUUGUGAUAUCUAUCUUAUGGAAAGAACUCUUGAUGAUGAAAGUGGGGAUCAAUGGACAGAUUUCCAGUGGUAGCCUAUGCCAAGUCAAACUAAGGUUGAAGCUGACCUGCUCUUCAGCCUGUUCAAGCUUGAUUAUAGCUGUUGAGUUCAAACUGAACUGAACUCAAGCUUCUUUGGGCUGGUCCUGCAUGUAUUUGAACUGAACCAUGUCCAAUUUUAUAGGAUGGAGAACGCAUAUCUUCUUUUGUGCGUCAAUUGGAGCCAGAUUGGCAUUUGGAAACAAAUCUAGAUAUUCCUUUUCAGUUACCUAAACUUGCUGACAUUGGCUUUACAUUUCAGCCAUUGGAUCAGGUAUUGCCUCAGGAUCCAACAUAAUUACCUCAACAAGUAUUGAAUCCUACUUUCUGAUGACUUCUGCUUAGAUUGUAAAUCUUCAAAUACUAACUCCUAUGUAAGGAAAAAAAAACAUUGAGAAAAGAAGGGAAAUGAAUGAGAGAGUGGAAUAUUUUUUUUCAGUUUCCGGCUAGUUUGAAUUCAGAGGUAUGCACAUCAUCCUUUAACGCUUAGUUGUUUGCUCCAUGUUGCUCUUUUCUUCCCCAGAUUUUAUGGUGCAUGUAUGAUUUAAACAUUUCUUUCUCAA